AGUGAACGCUGGCGGUAGGCCUAACACAUGCAAGUCGAACGGCAGCACAGUAAGAGCUUGCUCUUACGGGUGGCGAGUGGCGGACGGGUGAGGAAUACAUCGGAAUCUACUUUUUCGUGGGGGAUAACAUAGGGAAACUUACGCUAAUACCGCAUACGACCUACGGGUGAAAGCAGGGGAUCUUCGGACCUUGCGCGAUUGAAUGAGCCGAUGUCGGAUUAGCUAGUUGGCGGGGUAAAGGCCCACCAAGGCGACGAUCCGUAGCUGGUCUGAGAGGAUGAUCAGCCACACUGGAACUGAGACACGGUCCAGACUCCUACGGGAGGCAGCAGUGGGGAAUAUUGGACAGUGGGCGCAAGCCUGAUCCAGCCAUACCGCGUGGGUGAAGAAGGCCUUCGGGUUGUAAAGCCCUUUUGUUGGGAAAGAAAAGCAGCAGGUUAAUACCCCGCUGUUCUGACGGUACCCAAAGAAUAAGCACCGGCUAACUUCGUG
rnacentral:rRNA from 1 species